GCAGUGGUGGCUCAAUGGCUAAGGCUCUGGGUUAUGGAUCAGAAGUUUGGGGUUCAAGCCCCAGCCCCACCA